GGGGCUGUUUUGGCUUCGACGGAAGAUCAUUGAGGCACGUAUGAUGCAAGCCGCGAUGACUGUCUCGCGUUACCCAGAUAGUUAAAAGACAAGUGCUAAAACAUUUGCAAGCAGAGUCGCUAGCGCUUUCCGCGUAAACGUCUUUGCACCAGCUGUAGCCUAAACGCUUCAGCCAUCUCCCUUCGGGUUCUCGGGGUCGAAGAACGAGGUGUCAUAAUCUCGAGACGCUUUGUCGCCACACCGAUAAACGGCAACUAAGACUUAUCGGGCUAGGAAAUCCGGUUUUUGUCCUGAUUCUUACCGGACUUCCGAACUGAACAAUCGGGUCUAAGCUUGCUAAGGUUGUACGGUUUUAACUUUCGGACGCGGGUUCGAUUCCCGCCAGCUCCACCA
rnacentral:tmRNA from 1 species